GUGCUCGCUUCAGCAGCACAUGUACUAAAAUUGGAAUGAUACAGAGAAGAUCAGCAUGGCCCCUGCACAAGGAUGACACACAAGUUCGUGAAGCAUUCCAUACUAAA
ensembl:snRNA U6 U6 spliceosomal RNA